AAACCAUAUGAUGAAUUUGGAUAGUAAAUUCUCACGAUGGUCAUCUGAGGUUUUCUCUGAUGCAAUAAUCCAAUAAUUCUGAUGGUU